rnacentral:rRNA from 1 species
GAUGAACGCUGGCGGCGUGCCUAAUACAUGCAAGUCGAGCGAACAGACGAGGAGCUUGCUCCUCUGACGUUAGCGGCGGACGGGUGAGUAACACGUGGAUAACCUACCUAUAAGACUGGGAUAACUUCGGGAAACCGGAGCUAAUACCGGAUAAUAUAUUGAACCGCAUGGUUCAAUAGUGAAAGACGGUUUUGCUGUCACUUAUAGAUGGAUCCGCGCCGCAUUAGCUAGUUGGUAAGGUAACGGCUUACCAAGGCAACGAUGCGUAGCCGACCUGAGAGGGUGAUCGGCAACACUGGAACUGAGACACGGUCCAGACUCCUACGGGAGGCAGCAGUAGGGAAUCUUCCGAAAUGGGCGAAAGCCUGACGGAGCAACGCCGCGUGAGUGAUGAAGGUCUUCGGAUCGUAAAACUCUGUUAUUAGGGAAGAACAAAUGUGUAAGUAACUAUGCACGUCUUGACGGUACCUAAUCAGAAAGCCACGGCUAACUACGUG